GACGAACGCUGGCGGCAUGCUUAACACAUGCCAGUCGAACGGAAAGGCCCUGCUUUUUUGGGGUGCUCGAGUGGCGAACGGGUGAGUAACACGUGAGUAACCUGCCCUUGACUUUGGGAUAACUUAAUGAAACUGGGGCUCAUACCGGCUAGGAGCUCCUGCUGCAUGGUGGGGGUUGGAAAGUUUCGGCGGUUGGGGAUGGACUCGCGGCUUAUCAGCUUGUUGGUUGGGUAGUGGCUUACCAAGGCUUGGACGCGUAGCCGGGCUGAGCGGGUGAGCGGACCAACUGGGAUGGAGAUGCGACCCAGACUACUACGGGAGGCGACGGUGGAGUAGAUAAUACAAGGGGCUGAAGCCAGAUGUAACAAAGCAGCGCGGGGGAAGAGGGGCAGCGGGUUGUAAUGCAAUGCCGCCUGUGACGAGGUGUGAGUGACGGUAACGGGAAAAGAAGCACCGGCUAACUCCGUG
rnacentral:rRNA from 1 species